ACAGAGGGUGCGAGCGUUAAUCGGAUUUACUGGGCGUAAAGCGUGCGUAGGCGGCUUUUUAAGUCGGAUGUGAAAUCCCUGAGCUUAACUUAGGAAUUGCAUUCGAUACUGGGAAGCUAGAGUAUGGGAGAGGAUGGUAGAAUUCCAGGUGUAGCGGUGAAAUGCGUAGAGAUCAGGAGGAACACCGAUGGCGAAGGCAGCCUCCUGGGCUGAUACUGACGCUGAGGCGCGAAAGCGUGGGGAGCAAACAG
rnacentral:rRNA from 1 species